rnacentral:lncRNA from 1 species
UGCCUUUUUCUUUUCAUCAACCUUGGUGACUAUCAGUGUCAAAGAAAGCUUAAUUCUUCGUUCUGUUUUUAUUUGUCUCUUUAAAGGUUUGUAAAUUUUUUUUCUAUCGACCUUAUUCAACCAUGUAAAUGGAAAAUUUAUGUUAAAAUUCUUCCAUGCAUAGUAGGUACAAAGUGGUUGAGAUAGUUCACAAAAAUGUUAUGGAUGGCUUCUUGUGAUUUAAUAUUGGAGUCCAUAAUAUCUCUACACUCCAGAUCGCGUAGAACUAACUAGAUUGCUCAUUAUUUUCCCGAGCUUGUUGUUUUUGAAACGCUGGACGAUGCUGACAUUUGUGUUGCGUUCGCAGGUUAUGAAAUGGAUGAACAGGCUCCUGAUUCUAAUUACUUGCGGCUGCAGUUUUAUCAGUUCCCGGAUCCCAGGUCAAGACCUGGCCGUAACAAGGGGUGAUAGGCAUUAGGUGAUGAGAAACAUCCGUGUUGAUGUAAUCAAGAUUGCAUUUGCUCUUAUACAUUAUAUAUAUUGCUCAGGCUUGGGCACACACUAAUUGUAAGCACUUCUGAUGCACAUUGUUGUUCUAGGUAGUGAAAUCAGAAACAGUUUUAUAGUUGUGUUGAACGAUCUGAUUUUGCACGUCCAUGGUCUACAAUUUACUCAAGGAAUGUUUUAAUUCUGAAUUGAGAUUGUACUGUGCAUAGACUACCGCAAAAUUAGUACAGAGAUAGUUUCCCUAUAGAUUGUUUUCAUAUACUAGAGGACUUCCAUGGCCAGGGUAUCUUGCCACCAUAUUGUCCCCGUACAUUUUCCCUCCAUAUUAGUUAUAUAUUUAUCUGGACAUUCUAACCUAAUGAAGUCCUACAAUCAUCAUAACUCAUUUUACUUAGCUCAUGCUCCUUACAAUAUUUGAUGAACUCACAUAAGAAACUCAUAGAAAUUUGUUCCCAGUCAUUACCUUUGGACUGCAGUUGAAGCUUAUGAUACAUCCUCCCAAUGCUAAGCACUAGCUAGUGGGUUGUCGACUAAUCUAUGCCACCGUACACAUCGCAGGGGCUUUGAACUCUGUCUCAAUUAUUGUAAAGACGUUAGCCUCUUCAAUGAAAGAACCCAUAGUCCUAUGCUGCUAGAGCUCCCCCCACCCUUCUUGGAAUUAAUAUAGUGUUAGGACAUAUCGCUCUAUUUCUCACAUCACGUGACUAAUGAUUUCUUUGAAGUUACUUCUUUAGGAAACACUUAUACUACAAGUGCUUUUAUUAUAUAGAAUCUUUAUAAGCAAUCCAAGUGUUCAUUGAAAACGUAUUUGAAAGUGCUUCUUGAAAAAGCAUUUGGCAAGUGCUUCUUGAAAAAGCAUUUGGCAAGUGCUUCUAUAAAAGAGCUUAUUGGGUCAAAAGAAUUUCUAAGUUUUUUUUUCUGCCAAGCACAACAGAAUACACAUUUUAGCUUUUUCCAGAACCAAUCCCAGACAAGUUCUAAGCAAAGAAAGGGCGAUACAGCCUGAAGACAACGGAGAAUUUCCCUGACGUUAAAGGUUUUGUUUGUUCGGUCACUAAACCCAAAAAAAUAGAAAACUUGAAGUGGGCAAUGAAUUGGUUUUCGAUUUCCAUUAAAUUGGCACAACAUUCGGCAUUGUUAUGCAAAAAUAUACUUUUUUCUUAUCAUUAGUUUUACACACACUCUAGUCUGUGGUAUAAAAUGAGCUAGGGUUUGGUUGGAGAACAAGUCUACGUGGUAUCAUCACUUACAUUACAUGCCAUGUGGGCUGGAGGGUUUCAUUUGGUGCCAUUACUCCUUUUUCUGUUCUAUAAUCAUUUUGGAACUGGAAGAGAAAGUGGAGGGGAAAAGGUAGUUUAGGGCAAAAAUUUUCCAAUCAAUUUUUUGGCAGUGUGACUGUUUUCGAAAUAUAGAGUAGUUGUGGCAAAAAAGAAAAAGGAAAGGGGUAAUUGUACAUACACAUUGUUCCAAAGGGUCAGUUGUCCCACAACUUGUCAAGGGACCAGAGCAUUAAGUUGUAGCUGCAAGUGCAAGGAGAAAGUUGUGGAUUAGAUAGACCAAUGGAUUUGGUUUGGUUUAAUUCCAAGUCAUCGUCGUUUCUUCUUCUAUGUGGCCCAGCCGCCCAGGACUUUAGUCCUUAUUUGGCAGGUACUUAUUACAAGGUUAGAUAAAGGGAGAUGAUACAUGGAGAACGGUUUGCCAAGUUUGUUAGAGUGGAUCCGGAUCCAUGAGUGUUGGAUCUCUAGUAAUUGAAUCUUUAGUUAAAGAUUCAAUGUCUCAACGAUCUAUGCUAUACAUUUGUCUUUACGAAUUUUCAUUCAUUGUGUAUUACAUAAUAUUCUUGACCCUCUUAUAUGUGACUUCGGCCGACUUCUAUCACCCGAUAUCGUUGUGUAAUAACUUGAUGAGAUAGCCAAUGCUUAGGUCAUCUUCAAUGGAGAUGGCUAAAGGUCAAAAAGCUAAAAAAUAGUAUGAUUUGUUCAAAAACUCAUCUCCAACCAAUGUCAGAGCUAUAAUUAUAUGGAGCCCACCAUGCCAUUAUUUGGCUAGUGCCCCUUUCUUAGCCCCUUUUUGGGGCCUAGCUCCUCGAUUAUGCCAUCUGCAAUGAAGAGGGCUAAAUGUCUAAAAGCCAAAAAAUGACAUGAUUUACCCAAAAACUCAUCUCCAACCAAUAGCUAGGUUAUAAUUCUAUGGAUUCAACAGUUAGAUUUGGAAACAUCCAAUGUUAGUUUAAUUAAAUUAAAGUAUAAACUUAAAACUAAUAAAUUAUUAGGGAGCCUAUGUUUUAGCCCUUUCGGUUGGAGAUGGUAUAUGAGUAUGGCCGACACUAUUCAUUUAAAAAUAAUUUUUUUGUUGGGUUAUAAUUUUGGAUGAGGCUAUGUCUAGCCCUUUUGGUUGGAGAUGACCUUACAAUGAUUAAUUCAAAUUCAAUGGUUAAAUUUGAAAAUAUCCAACAAAACAUCCAACAGUAGUUUAAUUAAAUUAAUCAAUAAUUUUAAGUAUAAACUCAGAACUAAUAAAUUAUUGAGGGAGUUAUGUUUAGCCUUUUCGGUUGGAAAUGAUAUAUGAGUAUGGCCUAAUACUGUUUAUUAAAAAAAAAAUCUUUAGUUAUCUCUGCUAAUCAAUAAAACACUCAUUGUCAACCAAAAUCCUAUGAAAUUACCAGUUUAACCUUCUAAUUAAAACAAAACAUGAAUAAGAAAUAUGGGGCGGAAAUUUAAUUUUACACAAACAAAAUUUGUUGUUUUUUUUUUUCAAAACUUCAUCUAUAUAUAAUUCUAACAUAUCUCUAAUUAUAAAAUAAAUAAAAAAUAAAAAUAAAAACUUCCUACUCCCACAUUCUCUAUCACUCCCUUCCUCUCUUCUUUUAUUUUAAAACAAAAAAAAAAAUUUCACAUACUUUAUAUAUGCCCAUAUGCUAGUAAUUAUAAACGAAACUAUAUUUAACUAUUUCGUUGAAAAUGACCGUACGAGUAUGUAAAUUUUGAAAUGUGAGUUGUCGUUCACUACGCAAGCAAAGAUCGAAAGCCUUCAUGUACCGAGGGGUCCCACUCCUUGAAUCAGAAUAAAAGUGCUUUGAAAAAGUCCCUUUAAUUAUGUCCAAGUUUGGAUAAAAUUUGUCCAUGCAUGGCAUGCACUCACUGACUGAUCUCGUCGUCCUGAAGGGUAAGAGAGGUAAAUUCCAGAAUAACCCACGAGGCACUGUAUGAAGCCUGUCAAUUACAUCAACUCAUCAAGCUUUCAAUCUUUUCAUGGCAUGCCUAACUUCUGUGAAAUAUGCUCAACAUUUAACAUUUUGUAAACCAAAAAGAGAGUAAGAGAGAGAUGAUUGAAGUAAUAAAGUAAAAGCGAAAUGCAUGCAUUGAUAAAAGGAAAUUUUAACAAAAAAAAUUUCGGUACUGUUUACUUUAACAAAAAAUUAUAUUUUUACAUUAAAAAGUCAAUUCUAAUACUAUUCAUUUUACCCUUUAUUUGUUCUUUAUUGUUAAAAAUCAAAUUUUUCAAUCCAUUUUUAUUAGUUUUCCUUUGAUAAAAGGAGAAAGAUGCAUGGAGAACUGGUUUUUUAUUUUAUUAUUAUUUUUUUUACAAACAAUAAUAUUAGAGUGGAUUAAGUUAUUAGCUGUUAGCGAGAAGAGGAUCAAUAAUAAUCAAACUAGCACCCGGAUGUAUAAGCAUAAUUGUUUUCUAAAAUUGCAAUAAAACGUCACUUUCCAUAUAUAUAUAUAUAAAAAAAAAAAACUUAUUGUUCCUUGUAUGAUGGAUUGCAAUCUCAAUAUCGUUCUUAAUGGAACGGCCACAAUUAGUUGUUCAGGACAUAAACAAUAUGUAUUGUCUUUAUAUUUAGGAAAUUGGCUCUGUUAGCCUUAUUACAAACCCAACAAUUAAAAAUACUCCCAAAUUAUAAUCUCUAUUAGCCCUCUUUUCCUUAAAUACCACUAACUUGAAAGAUGAACUGUUAUUCUAUGUCUCGACGUUGGAUCUCGAUGGCAUCCAAAAGGGCCUCUCAACUCCCUUCCGACUGUAUCUCGACUGAAUCACGACGGCAUCUCAACGGCACAGAACUGAAUUACCCUUAUAUUUAUGAGUUGAUCAGACACUCCAAUUAAAUAAAAAUAACUAUAAUUAUGUCAAAAUUAUUUAGUCAGUCUCACGUAUAUAUAAUUAAUUCAUCAAACACAUAAACAAAAAAGUUCUUGUAUGUAUGCUAUACUUUGAUUUGUCUCAACAAGAAAUGACUCAGUCAUCUUUUUAUCUAUGUCCAUUGAGUUUAUGGAGGGCAACAUAUUGAGAUCUCAAAAAUCUUAUUCUCAUACAACACACUUUUUUUUUUGAACAAACGAUAUUAUCUACACUAAGGGAAAAUGGGUGGCCUAAACCUCACAAUGGGCUAGCAAUAAUGUGGUUCAAAUUCACAUUUGGCGAGAAUCAAACCUAAGACCUCUCACUGACAAGUGAAGAAGAAUAUCACUAGACCGUAGUCCUAAAAAAAAUAUAGAUCUUAUAGUCUUGCAGUGUUUUAGAUUAGCUAAAACGUUGGUAUCCAUAUUAACUUACCAAAAAAAAUAUGUUGAAUUUGCUACACCUGGAAUUUGUAGCAGAUUUGUCAUUUUAUAAAGGGGUUUUUAACUCAUUUAAAAAAAAAGAAGGGGUUUUUAACUUUAAUUCUUAAAAAAAAUUGAAAUUUAAUAAAAAUCGGAUGUUAGAUUACAUAUUAAUUAUUGUCCUUUAAUGUGUUAUUAACUCAAAUUAAUUAAUGUGUAUUUUAUUCAAUAUCUCACAUUAAAUAUUUGAAUUUAUGAAAAUGAAAAUUAUAAUAAAAUAUAAUUAAUAUAUCAAAAUUAGAAAGAAAAAGAGAAAUAAUUAAAACAUCAAAAUAUAAUUAAUAAAUGAAGUAAUUAACAUAUCAAGAGACUAAAAUUAGAUUUUAAUUUUACUCAUGUUUUUAAUUUAAAGUUAUUUUUAUCAAAAAUUAAAAUGAAGUUUCCUAUUUUGUAAAUUACAACGAUGAAAAAUGACGCGUUGCACGUAAGAAACAACAUCUAUAUUUUCUCUUUUGUUUAAUAUGCCAUCAAACAUAUCCAUCACAUUUUAAAUUUUGUGGAAGUCCCUCUCUCACAUUGAUAAAGUCUGGUUUGUGUUGGACAGCUGUCCAACAGACAACCCAAAAAUCUUCCAAAAACCAACAAACAUUUCUGACCAGUCAUGCAUACGUAUGCAUGGACCCAAUGGCAUAUAAUCAAAAAUUUUAAAUAAUGGGAUCGUAAUGUCAACUUAAAAAAAAGUUUCAUUAAGCUAUUUCAUCGAACAUUUAGUAAGCAAUUGUCAAUUCUUGUCAACAAUGCCAAAAGUUUAUGUUAAAAUAUAUCAACUACGAUAAUUUGUAGAGGCUUGUCGAGAGUGAUGUAGGAUACUACGAAGUAAUAUUGAGAACUCUUAAAGCUUUUCAACUAAAGUAUUUUAUAUAAAAAGAGAGAAAAGAAAAACAAAUAUGAUAGAAGAAAAUAGAAGAAGUAAGAAGAUGAGGUUGUAAGUUAGUUUGCUUUAGCUAUUUAUAAUGGUCAAAUAAAAUAUACAAACAAAUAUACAUGAGAUUUUUAAAGUUGUUGAGAUCAAGGAUAAUCAAUGAUCCCAUUCUAGUUUUGCCAUUGCAUGGGCCGGAUAGGGAUAUGGCUAAAAUAUAAUUCUAUUAAUUGCGUUUUGGGACUUUGUCUAACAACUUGGCUCUCUCUUGACUUGGAUGCCAUGGAUGGCUCAUGCAGUUUACUAAAACUAGUAAUGUACAAUUUUCAGAGACUAUUAAUUAUCAUCUAUCAGGAAAAUUUGAUUUCCAUGCUUGCCCUUUCACGUCGGUGACUUGGAGAUAAUAUUGUUUCUUGUCCGGAGAUGAAAUAAAAUAAAAAGACUUGCACGAUCAUACUGCAUUAUAUAUAUUACACUAUAUAGUCUAUGUUGGGAGUUAUAUAUUAGUUAAAGUAUAAAUAGUAGUCUGUUAUCCUAUAUUGAUGAAGUGCAUAUGUAAUACAAAUUGUAAUUCCUAUAUAUACUCCAUUUUGGAGAUUAAUGAAUAUAUGAGAAAUUCUCAAAUAUUAUCAUAUAUAUUUUUGGUAUUUACCAUGUUUAGUUUAAUAUAGCAUCAAAGCAGUUCGCUCUUGGUGACCUGUGUGCUUUAAUUUUGUGCCCCACAUUUGUCAUGAUUUCCUUCGUCUUGAAAAAAAAAAAGGAAAGUAAAUAGUGUUGCACUACAGUACAAACAGUGCGUAAACAGUGGUAUGCUACAGUGUUCAUGAACAAUAUUUUGCUACAGUGCCAUUAACAGUGAUCUACUACAUCACUUGAACAGUGAUGUGCUACAGUAUUAUGGUAAAUUGUUUUCAUUCCGCUGCCUAUCUUUUGUGCCUUUAUUGUUUGUGAUUUAAUUCAAUGGCUCAGUAUAAUCAUAAUGUUGUUAUGCAUCUUGGUGGAACAAAUAAAUGGAUAAUUGAUACUGGGACCACUAAUCAUGUGACUAGUGACCCUAGAAUGUUUGAUGAGUUAUGUGACUAUAUUCUUGAUCCGUAUAUUACUAGUGCAAAUGGAGCACAUUCCCCCGUGAAUGUUGAAGGCAUUAUCUCUCUUACUUCGACCUUAUCACUGGUCCAUACUUUACUUGUUCCUGAUGUUAAGUGCAAUCUUUUGUCGGUAGAAAAACUACUUGAUACUUUAUAUUGUUUUGCUCACUUCUACCCUACGUAUUGUUAUUUUCAAGACAUUCAAACUCAGAAAGUAAUUGGUCAUGGUAAAAGAAUAGAGGGUUGUACAUCUUGACUAUGGAGGAUACUGUUGUUUCCGGUUCAAAUAAUCAUCAAGUUUUAAGUGCUAAAGUGGAUGACAUACAUCAAAUUUGGUUGUGGCAUUGGCGAUUAGGACGUCUAUCAUUCAGUUAUAUGAAGCAUCUAUUUCCUGCUUUGUUUCGCAUUUGUAGUGAUUCAUAAUUCAAGUGUGAAGCAUGUGUCAUGGCUAAGAGUCAUCGUGCUUCCUUUCCCAUAAGUGAUUCUAAAGCUACUUUGCCAUUUGAUUUAAUACAUUCUGAUGUGUGAGGUCCGGCAAAUGUUACUUCUAAUGAAUUUCGUUGGUUUGUUACUUUUAUUGAUGAUUGUACUCGAUUAACUUAGGUGUUAUUGAUGAAGAAUAAGAGUGAUGUUCAUUUGCUUCUUCAAGAAUUUUGUGCAAUGGUGUAUACUCAGUUUCAGACCAAAGUUAAGGUUUUCAGGUUUGAUAAUAGAGGAGAAUAUGUGAAUCACACUUUGACAUGCUUUUUUCGUGAUCAGGGUAUUAUUCACCAGACGACUACUUUGUUUACACCCCAACAAAAUGGUGUGUCAGAACAGAAGAAUCGUCAAAUAAUGGAGGUUGCUCACUCAUUGAUGUUGGAUAAAUGUGUUCCUAAUCAUUUAUGGGGUCAUGUUGUUUUGGCUGUUGUAUAUUUGAUAAAUCGUGUUCUAAGUAGGGUUCUUGAUUUUCAGACACCACUUGAUGUGUUACAAAAGCAUGUUUAUCUUGUUUCUGUAUCAAAACUUCCUCCGAAGGUGUUUGGGUGUAUUGCGUAUGUGUAUGUCUACUCUUAUCAGCGGAGUAAACUUGAUGCAUGUGUUCUUCGAUGUGUAUUUAGUAGGUAUGCUAACAAUCAGAAAGGCUAUAAGUGUUAUCAUCCUCCGACUCAUAAAACUUAUAUUACCAUGGAUGUCACUUUCCACGAGGAAGUUUCGUAUUUUGUGAAGCCAUCUUCCGACUCUCCACUUCAGGGGAAAAAAGGGAGUGAAGUGCAUAUUUGAAGAGAUGGUAUGGAUGAUGUGUUACAGGCAGAGUUGGGGAUAGAACCUAUUAUGUUGCGUGAUACUGAUCAGUCGGUUAUAGAUAGUGAUCUGUCACCUAUUAUUCCUAAAACUAUUUUUACUGACGACAGAUUAGAUGUGCCCAACGAGUUGCUUGUCAGUAUGUCUGACGAAUUACUUUCUGAUGACCGAUUGCUUGCUUCUGGUAUGUCUAACGAGCUGCCUGAUGAUGGUUAGUUCAGUGAUGGUUCAUCCAGUGAUGAUUCUUUUAACAAUUUGGUACAAGAUAAUGACAUACAUGAGUUAAAUUCUGACGAUUCUUCUAUUUAUUAGUUGCCUCCACGAGCUAAUCGUGGAAAACCUAAGGUACAAUAUGAGCCUGAUAUGCAUGCCAAAUCCAAAUAUCCUAUCAACAAUUAUGUGUUUACUCAUCGUUUGUCCAAACCAUUUUCAUCUUACAUAUGUCAGCUAUCUAGUGUAUCAAUUCCAACAAAAUUGCACGAUGCCUUGUCUGACCCUAAGUGGGUUAAUGCCAUGAGAGUUGAGAUGGAAGCCUUGGAAAAGAAUUCUACUUGGGAUUUGGUUCAUUUACCAAAUGGGAAGAAAGCUGUUGGAUGUAGAUAGGUGUUCACUAUUAAGCACAAAGCAGAUGGUUCUAUUGACCGGUAUAAAGCCAUAUUAGUUGCUAAGGAUUAUACUCAAACCUAUAGGGUGGACUAUCAGGAGAUUUUUGUUCUUGUUGCCAAACUUAAUACUGUGUGUGUUCUUCUGUCCUUAGUAGCAAACCAGGAUUGGCCUCUGUUGCAGUUUGAUGUUAAGAAUGAUUUCCUUCAUGGUGAUCUCAAGGAGGAAAUUUAUAUGGAUCUCCCACUUAGUAUUAGAACAUCUCCUGAAAAAUGUGUUGUAUGCAAGUUGCAAAAAGCUUUGUAUAGUUUGAAACAAUCUCUUAGAGUGUGGUUUUGGAGGUUUACAAGUUCAAUGAAGAAGUUUGGGUAUGUCCAGAGUCAUUCAAAUCAUACUUUGUUUCUAAAUUGUUUCUAAAGCCACAAAAUGGUAAGCUAACUGCAUUGAUUAUUUAUGUUGAUGACAUGUUAGUGACUAGUGAUGAUCAAAAGGAGAUACAACGCCUUAAAAAAGUACCUAGCUAGUGAAUUUGAGAUGAAAGAAUUGGGUGAAUUGAAGUAUUUUCUUGGAAUCGAGGUUGCACAAUCCAAGCAUGGUAUUUUUCUGUCUCAACAGAAGUAUGUUCUUGAUUUGUUAGUUGAAACAAAUCUGUUAGAUUGCAAACUUAUUGAUACUCUGAUUGAGCAAAAUCAUCAUCUGGGCUUAUUUCCGAAUCAAGUUCCUACUCAUAAGGAACGGUAUCAGAGGCUUGUGGGGAAAUUAAUUUAUUUGUCUCACACUUGCCCUGACAUUGCUUAUGCAGUUAGUGUAGUAAGUCAGUUUAUGCACUCACCUAGUGAAGCUCAUAUGGAUGAAAUAGUCCGUAUUUUGAGGUGCUUGAAGAUGGCUCCUGGCAGAGGCUUGGUUUUCUCCAAGAAUGGUCAUUUGAAUGUCGAAGGGUAUACAGAUGCAGAUUGGACAAGUUCUAUCACUGAUUGGCGGGUGGUAAUCUAGUUACUUGGAGAAGUAGAAACAAAAAAUGGUGGCUAGGUCAAGUGCUGAAGCUGAGUUUCGUGGUAUGUCUCAUGGUGUAUGUGAGUUGUUGUGGUUAAAAAAAUUGUUGAGAGAUCUUGGAUUUAAACCCAAUGGUGCUAUGAAACUCCAUUGUGAUAACAAGGCUGCUAUUGAGAUUGCUCAUAAUCCAGUGCAACAUAAUCAAACAAAACAUGUGGAGAUUGAUCAACAUUUCAUCAAGGAAAAUUUGGAUGCUGGAAUUAUUAUGUUUCCGUUUGUGAGAUCUGAAGAUCAACUCGCUGAUGUACUUACUAAGACUGUGUCUAAUAGUGUGUUUUCCAACUCGCUUGACAAGUUGGGCAUGCAUGACAUCUUUGCUCCAACUUGAGGGGGAAUUUUACGAGUUAUAUAUAGUUAAAGUGUAAAUAGUAGUCUGUUGUCCUACAUUGAUGAAGUACAUAUGUAAUACUAAUUGUAACUCCUAUAUAUACUCCACUUUGGAGAUUAAUAAAUAUAUAAGAAAUUCCCAAAUAUUGUCAUAUAAAUUUUUGGUAUUUAUCAUGUUUAGUUUAAUAGUCUAAACAUCAGGAAAUACACCAACCCUAAACCUAAUGGAUUUUAUGAAGCCGCUGGUUUGGGUACACAUUAAUCUAACCUAAUUGCUCUACCACAUUCUAAACACAAAAUUUGUUAUAAAUAGGAUGAUUAAAUUUAUUUUCUCAAGCGGUAGAGUAGUGAACCUCACAGCGACGACAAUCUUCCACCCCCAAAUUCGGGUUUUUUUGUACUAAAAUGGUCUUUUAUGUAUAAGAACUUUACGAUAAGUUUAUUAAAAUUGGCUCUGUAUCUACGAAAUCUCAACAUCCAUACGUUACAAAAUGGAUUAGAACUCCUAGGAAAUAAAAUAGAACAUAUGAUGAUCCCUUUAAAGGGCCUUAUAAUGGGGAAGACUUCUCACAGAAUAUAAGAAGACGAAGAGGAAAACUAAAAACUUAGAACUUCAAGGAGAUGGACUGGAGCAGGGAGAAUGGCAAAGAACCGGAACCCAGAAGACCCGCAACGAAAAAGAAAACACUGUACUUUUUUUAGACAUUUUUUCACAUUUCUUCUCGGCCUUACAGCCAAGUAGCAUUUUCCGACCCCAAAUAAAGAUAGAAGGAAAAAACCAAAUUAAGGUAAAUAAAUUUUCUAUAGCAACUUGGCAAACAAAAACAUACUAGAAGAAAACAAGGAAAAUACAAAGAAAUUAAGGAAGUAUGGGAAACAAAAUAAAUUUAAUACGGGACCAACGACAACGGUGCAAAUGUAUAUUGUUCAGGAAAUAAACUUUUAGCGAAAAUGUGCUGCAAAAUUGACCAAUUUUGCUUCAUAUUCACACUCAAUUUUUUUAAGAAUUAAUAUCUGUAGAGUUUAGACCAAAAAUAAAAUAAAAAACAAAACCAAAAUGCUACUCCACUUUCUUGGUACUUAACUCAGCUCUCCACCUCCUUCCAAUCUUACAAGCUUCUAGAUUUAGAUUUGUCUCAAAUCACAUGCCAACUAACCUGCCCAGCUCAAUUUUAUUUUUUCUUUGGAAAUUCCAGUGCGUCUCUACUUUUGUUUUUCUAAAUCUUACUUACUCCCAUUAUAAUUGGAAUUUUAUAUAUUUAUAUGGAUGCUUUGUCAAGAUAUGAGAGAAAUAGUAGUGAUUCAAAAAGAUGAUUAGGAGCCAAAAAUAUUUAUUAUUUUAGAUUGGUGUUUAUGUUUUUGAACAGUUAAAAACUUUUUUGGUCAUUGUGUUUAUGUUUAAAAUUUAUUUUGGUCACUGUAUUUUAUUUUCUGCUAAUUUAGUUACUGUGUUAUCACAAGUUAGCAAUCUUAGUCCUUCUCAAUCAAACGUUAAAAAAAACGCACAUGACAUGCAAGUGCAGGGGUAACUAUGUAAGUGAAAAUAUAUCUUUGCCCCUGCACGAAACUGUCACGUGCAUUUUUUUGGCGGUUGACUUAUGGUAACGCAGUGACCAAUUUGGCAGAAAAUAAAACACAAUGACCAAAAUAAAUUUUAGAAAUACACACAGCGACCAAAAACGUUUUAAUUUAACCCAUUUUUAACAGUCCAGCCAGCUACCAUGAAAGCUACAACAUGAAAGCUGACUGUCAAAAUUUUGUUUAAAAAUUCAUACACAAUAAUCGUCAUAAGAACGUGCAAUAGGUACUUUGAAUUCUUAAAUAUACUGCAUGGUUACCCUUUCCUUUUGUUUUAUACAGAGAAAUCUUGACAGGCAGUCAAAAGCAAAAUUAUGUUCUUCUAGUGAUAUCUGUGUGCUAAAAAGGAAGUACGUAGCUACGUUCAGUCUUCACCUAACACUCCUAUUUGCACCUAAAAGAUGUGGAUAACAAAGAUUUUGACCAAAAUCACAUUGACAAGUACUUGCCAAAGGAUCACGGAACCUAUGAUUGUAAAAGAUAUACGUGUUGGGCCUGACCGACGUUAAUUAGUUGUUCAUAUUGAUUUGAGAAAUUUGAUUGAAUGAGGAUUAACAAAUCACAAUUGCUAAAAUAUUAAAAUGUAUUAACUGCGACAUAUUGGUUAAAUAAUUAUUGCACAUCGAAAAAAUAUUGACGAGUAAUUAUGAAUUUUUAUUUUCAUUAUUUCAAACAUUUUUAUAUUAGAAAAGCUAAAGAAAAUGAUUUAAAAACUUUGAAUUUUAAUGAUACGUACAAAAUGAAAGGUAAAAUAAAUAGUACCAGAAUUAACUUUUUGUUUAAAUUUUAUUUUCUAUUUGGCAUCAACUUUUGGUUUAAAUAUACUAUAUAACCCUCACAAAAGAAAAAGCAUGGUGUACUAGUAGCUAAAAGACAUAAAAAAGGUUAAUCUUAAUUUAUUAUUCUAAAGUUUCUUAGUUUUCAAUAUUUGGUAUAUAAAGUUUUUUUUAUUCUAGAGUUGUACAUAAAGUUAUAAUUUUGGGAUACUUUCAUACAUCCAUUAAGGUUGCUGUUAAAUUUAUCAUUAACUGAUGAUAUGACAUUUAUGUUGACAAUGACACGUAGAUAUUAAAAAUUAAAAAUUAAAUUAAUAAAAUAAUAAAAAUUAAAAAAAAAAAAAAAUUGGGCGUCUUCACCCUCACCCCUUCUGACCCCCCUCCCUUCUCUCCUCUGCACCCACGCUUCCCCCUCCCUCUUCGACUCCACCCAACGCUGCACUCCGAGGAUUGUUGCCAUCCUUUCAAGCCCAAUUUCGCCCCCAAAUAGGCCCGGGCAGUACUUGGCCAUAAACUUCAAGUCGUAGACCCUCUCGAACAAACGACCUGCCAUCUUUGCGAACUCAGUGGGGGAGCUGAGGAUGGUCUUCCUCGUCACCAGCUUCAUUACAUAGGCCGAGUCGUAGAGGCCGUGGAAGCUCACCCAUACGAGCUGCCCCCUGUGCACCCUUAAAAUCUCAACGAAACCCUCCACAAAAAUAUCCGAAUCAAUGCCGAACUUCCCAAAUUUCUCGAGAUCCAAGCCAUUCGCUUUGAGGAGGGCAAUGGAUUCUGGAACAUGGGGGUCGGUUUCCUCGUCAAAACCCCGAAAGUUGAACUCCCAGGUGCCGCCGACGUUGCCGCGGUCGUCGAACAGGGUGAUACCCACUUGGAUGAGAUUGAGAGAAUCGACAUUAAGGGCGAUAUCUUGGUAACGGAGGCCCUUGGAAGUGCCUCUGGGGGUGUUGCGGAGGAACCCCGGAAAUUCGGUGUCGAACGAGACGAUCGGAAAACGGCAGAGACACCGAUCGACGGAGGGAAGGGGAAAGGUGGGUGCAAAGGAGAGAACGGGAGUGGGGUCGGAAGGGGUGAGGAAGAAGAUGCCCAAAUUUUUUUAUUUAUUUAAUUUUUUUAGUUUUUAUUAUUUUAUUUUUUAAUAUGCACGUGUCAUCAUGUCAUUGUCCACGUGGAUAACACAUCAUUAGUUAACAGUAAAUUUAAAGGCAACCUUAAUGAAUGUAUAAAAUUGUUCCAAAAUUAUAACUUUAUGUACCACUCUGAGAUGAAAAAAACUUUAUUUACCAAAUAUUGAAAACAAAAAAACUUUAAGAUAAUAAACUAAUAUUAAUCCUAAAAAACUACUAAAGGAAAGGGUGAAAGAAAAAAUUAUUAGUUUGUGCUGUUCUCAUGGUAAUAGUGGUUUUUGUAUUGUACGAUCAUGUGUUACAUUUUAUGCAUUAUUAUGUGGAUGAAUGAAUAAGUUAAUUACAUCGCAUGUCAUAGGGUGAAUAUUACAUUAAAAAAUUCUUCAUUCUUGUUAUUCGUCAAAUUAAUGGUUGUGCAUUUGUAUGAGGACCUAGAUCUGUUGAGGAUGCAGAUCUUCACUCGUUGAAGGCCAUCCCUAUCUAUCUACUACUACUCUUUGGAAAAUAAUUGACUACAGAUGAUUGUACAAAAAAAUAAUUAAUAUUAUCUGAACAGCUCACCAUGCAUGUUCAGUAAAGUAAAGCGGAUUUGUUUAUUCAUUGUCUAGUUCAAACUUGGGGAGCAUUUUCUCAUUCUUGCGGUGAUCAGAAUAAUGUGAUUUAAGUCCAGUUAAACAUGCUUAAUUAUGCAUUUAAGCAUCUUUUAUUUAUUUGCUUUCAUUAUUUUUUCCUUCUUAAUGUGUUGUUAUUGUUUGGAACAACAAGUAAGACAAAUCUAGCCAGUUAGCAUUCACCGCAUCACCGCAUAAUGAAAGAUUAUUCAUAUUUGGAAAUGAAUAAUUAAUUAAAAAACUGUAUUAUUAAGGCAAAUGGGCACUUAAUAUUUGUAUCUUAAACCUUCCGAGUCGGAUAUUCGAGUAAAUUAGUUAAAAAGCUAUGCAAAAUGUGAAUGUGACAGACUACGUAGUAAAGUUUGGGUUAAGAGAGAGAGAGAGAGAGAGAGAGAGUAUUUCGCAGCCGGCUGGUCCCUAUGUACGGGAAGAAUCAUAGAAAGUUAGGUAACUACACACAUUUUUCAAAGAUGUCGAUCAUGAAAAAUAUUUGAUAACAAAUUCAGGGAGGACAUACUGCUUAAAUUAUUAACCUAGAAAUAAAGUUCGAUCUCUUGCUUUAACUUUUCUGCUACGUAGCUCUUAUUGCAUUAAACAAAGCCUUAUUAAAGUAAAGAUGGUCACACCCUUAGCCCUUUAGGUGAUACGUUCAGGGAAAUGGUUAAUGUUUUUACAAGCUCUUGUUUAUUUUUAUUUUUUAAUAUUUUCAGAUAUUUUUACAAUCUUUUACUGCGCAGUAAUAGAGUGUAAAAAUCAUAUCUAUGUAUUUAUUUAUUAUUAACUAUGUUUACAAUGAACCUUCUAUUCCAUGAAACAAGAUAUAAAAAUAAAAAUAAAAAGGAGAAGGGCAUAAAUUAACAAAAUUCGGUCAAAGGCCGCAUUGGUCCAAACAUUAAUUGAUAAUCUAUGACAAAUAGUCUGGCCCCAUUAGCAUUAUUUUAACAGUAAUAUUGUUUUUUUACUAAGAUAAUUAAUAAUUGCCAAGUGAAAAUUUGGCAUGAGUACCAUUGUGAAGGGUAAAAACCAAAGCUAUAUAAAGGGUGAGGAGGCUUAGCUUCAGAGGCAGACAACCAAAAACCCAUUCUUAACGAAGGAUGGGAAAAAUGGUGCCUUCACAAGUGACCUCUCUUGUGGUCACUCUCCUAGUGGCAAUAGUCUCUCUCACAUUGCCUUCAGAAACUUCAGCUAACUACCCUUACACCUCUCCACCACCACCGGCCUCUCCUCCCUACCAUUACAAGUCACCACCGCCUCCUUCUCCUUCUCCUCCAGUGCACUACUCACCACCUAAGCAUCCCUACCACCCUAAGUCACCACCACCUCCUGUGUACGCACCACCUAAGCAUCCCUACCACCCUAAGUCACCACCACCUCCUGUGUACCCACCACCUAAGCAUCCCUACCACCCCAAGUCACCACCACCAUCACCAAAGCCUUACCACUACAAAUCCCCACCACCACCUCCUGCUCCAGUGCACUCACCACCCCCACCUAAGGAGCCAUACCACUACAAGUCCCCACCACCACCACCCAAGAAGCCCUACCACUACAAAUCUCCCCCACCACCUCCUCCUCCAGUUCACUCACCACCACCACCCAAGGAGCCUUACCACUACAAAUCUCCACCACCACCACCCAAGAAACCUUACUAUUACAAGUCUCCUCCACCACCACCAAAGAAGCCUUACCACUACAUGUCUCCUCCCCCACCGGUGUACUCACCACCUCCACCAGUGCACUCACACCCACCACCAAAAAAGCCUUACCAUUACAAAUCUCCUCCCCCGCCAGAAUAUUCACCAGCUCCACCAGUGCACUCAACCCCACCACCAAAGAAGCCCUACCAUUACAAAUCCCCACCACCACCACCACCACACAAGAAGCCUUAUUACCCUGUUCACUCACCACCUCCACCUAAGAAGCCUUACCACUACAAAUCCCCACCACCACCUUCUCCUACUCCUCCUAAAUACUCACCACCUAAGCACCCCUACCACUACAAGUCUCCACCACCACCACCAAAGAAGCCUUACCAUUACAAGUCCCCACCACCUCCUUCUCCUACUCCCCCUAAAUACUCACCACCUAAGCACCCCUACCACUACAAGUCACCACCACCACCACCCCAAGAAGCCUUACCACUACAAGUCUCCACCACCACCACCUCCUCCAGUUCCCACACCAUCUCCACCCAAGAAACCUUACCACUACAAGUCUCCCCCACCACCCCCUCCAGUCUACAAGUCUCCUCCACCACCAGUUUACUCACCACCACCACCACCUAAGAAACCUUACAAGCCACCAACUCCUCCAGCAGUUCACCCACCACACGGUUACAUCUAUUCCUCACCCCCACCUCCUCACCACUACUAGAUAUUGAAAGUUUAAUUGCAUCAAGCUGGUAA